GCGGUUGGCUGGAUGGCUGCAGGUUUUAUAACUUGAGGAAAGUCCGGACUCCAUAAAGCAACGGUGCCGGGUAACGCCCGGCCAGGGAAACCUGAGGGAAAGCGCAACAGAGAGUAUACCGCCUCUUAUUAGAGGUAAGGGUGAAACGGUGAGGUAAGAGCUCACCGCACGGUUGGCAACAGGCGUGGCACGGCAAGCCCCACCGGGAGCAACGCCAAAUAGGAACCUAGUGGAGUUUAACUCCGGGGCAGCUUUAGCUCUAUAUGGUUCGGGUUGGCGGCUUAAGGGAUGCAGGUAACUGUGUCUUUAGAUGAAUGGCCAUCCAGAGACGUUAUAGUCUUGGACAGAAUCCGGCUUAUAGGCCAACCGCGUAA
rnacentral:RNase_P_RNA from 1 species